rnacentral:rRNA from 1 species
AUUGAACGCUGGCGGCAGGCCUAACACAUGCAAGUCGAGCGGAGCGGCGGUCGGGUGCGUAAUGCUUAGGAAUCUGCCCGGUAGUGGGGGAUAACGUCCGGAAAUGGGCGCUAAUACUGCUUCCUCUCAGAUGAGCCUAGGUCGGAUUAGCUAGUUGGUGGGGUAAAGGCCUACCAAGGCGACGAUCCGUAUCUGGUCUGUGAGGAUGAUCAGUCACACUGGAACUGAGACACGGUCCAGACUCCUACGGGAGGCAGCAGUGGGGAAUAUUGGACAAUGGGCGAAAGCCUGAUCCAGCCAUGCCGCGUGUGUGAAGAAGGUCUUCGGAUUGUAAAGCACUUUAAGUUGGGAGGCGUUACCAACAGAAUAAGCACCGGCUAACUUCGUGCCAGCAGCCGCGGUAAUAC